AGAGUUUGAUCCUGGCUCAGGACGACCCCUUGAGGCGUGCCUAAUACAUGCAAGUCGUGCGCAGGAAGCAGACUGAAAUCUUCGGAUGGACGUCUGUGGAAUGAGCGGCGGAUGGGUGAGUAACACGUGGGUAACCUGCCUACAAGCUUGGGAUAACUCGCGGAAACGCGAGCUAAUACCAGAUAACACCUUUUACCUCCUGGUAAAAGGAUAAAAGACGGUUUCGGCUGUCACUUGUAGAUGGACCCGUGGCGCAUUAGCUAGUUGGUGAGAUAAAAGCUCACCAAGGCAACGAUGCGUAGCCGACCUGAGAGGGUGAUCGGCCACACUGGGACUGAGACACGGCCCACACUCCUACGGGAGGCAGCAGUAGGGAAUCUUCCGCAAUGGACGAAAGUCUGACGGAGCGACGCCGCGUGAAUGAUGAAGGUCUUAGGAUCGUAAAAUUCUGUUGUUAGGGAUGAACAAGUGUGAGAGUAACUGCUCACACCUUGACAGUACUUAACCAGAAAGCCCCGGCUAACUACGUGCCAGCAGCCGCGGUAAUACGUAGGGGGCAAGCGUUGUCCGGAAUUAUUGGGCGUAAAGGGUACGCAGGCGGUUUUUUAAGUCUGAUGUGAAGUCUCAUAGCUUAACUGUGAGCGGUCAUUGGAAACUGGGGAACUUGAGUAUAGAAGAGAAGAGUGGAAUUCCAAGUGUAGCGGUGAAAUGCGUAGAUAUUAGAAGGAACUCCGGUGGCGAAGGCGACUUUCUGGACUAUGUCUGACGCUGAGGUACGAAAGCGUGGGUAGCGAACAGGAUUAGAUACCCUGGUAGUCCACGCCGUAAACGAUGAAUACUAGGUGUCAGUGAGCGAUCAUUGGUGCCGGCGCAAACGCAAUAAGUAUUCCGCCUGGGGAGUACGGUCGCAAGACUAAAACUCAAAGGAAUUGACGGGGACCCGCACAAGCAGCGGAGCAUGUUGUUUAAUUCGAGGCAACGCGAAGAACCUUACCAAAUCUUGACAUACCACUGACCUACACCGUAAAGGUGUACUCUGCUUCGGCAGCAGUGGAUACAGGUGGUGCAUGGUUGUCGUCAGCUCGUGUCGUGAGAUGUUGGGUUAAGUCCCGUAACGAGCGCAACCCCUAUUUUUAGUUGCCAUCAGGUAGUGCUGGGCACUCUAAAGAGACUGCCAGAGAUAAUCUGGAGGAAGGUGGGGAUGAUGUCAAAUCAUCAUGCCCUUUAUGAUUUGGGCUACAAACGUGCUGCAAUGGUCGGUACAACAGGUUGCCAAGCCGCAAGGUGGAGCUAAUCCCAAAAACCGAUCUCAGUUCGGAUUGGGGGCUGCAACUCGCCCCCAUGAAGUUGGAGUUGCUAGUAAUCGCGAAUCAGCAUGUCGCGGUGAAUGCGUUCCCGGGUCUUGUACACACCGCCCGUCAAG
rnacentral:rRNA from 1 species